UACGUAGGGUCCGAGCGUUGUCCGGAAUUACUGGGCGUAAAGAGCUCGUAGGUGGUUUGUCGCGUUGUUCGUGAAAACUCACAGCUUAACUGUGGGCGUGCGGGCGAUACGGGCAGACUAGAGUGAUGUAGGGGAGACUGGAAUUCCUGGUGUAGCGGUGAAAUGCGCAGAUAUCAGGAGGAACACCCGUGGCUAAGGCGGCUCUCUAGUACGGUACUGACGCUGAGACGCGAAAAGCGUGGGGAGCGAACAGG
rnacentral:rRNA from 1 species